GAUGAACGCUGGCGGCGUGCCUAAUACAUGCAAGUCGAGCGAACAGACGAGGAGCUUGCUCCUCUGACGUUAGCGGCGGACGGGUGAGUAACACGUGGAUAACCUACCUAUAAGACUGGGAUAACUUCGGGAAACCGGAGCUAAUACCGGAUAAUAUAUUGAACCGCAUGGUUCAAUAGUGAAAGACGGUUUUGCUGUCACUUAUAGAUGGAUCCGCGCCGCAUUAGCUAGUUGGUAAGGUAACGGCUUACCAAGGCAACGAUGCGUAGCCGACCUGAGAGGGUGAUCCGCCACACUGGAACUGAGACACGGUCCAGACUCCUACGGGAGGCAGCAGUAGGGAAUCUUCCGCAAUGGGCGAAAGCCUGACGGAGCAACGCCGCGUGAGUGAUGAAGGUCUUCGGAUCGUAAAACUCUGUUAUUAGGGAAGAACAAGUGUGUAAGUAACUAUGCACGUCUUGACGGUACCUAAUCAGAAAGCCACGGCUAACUACGUG
rnacentral:rRNA from 1 species